UCCCAUGUGGUCUAGUGGUUAGGGAUUCCUGGCUUUCACCCAGGCGGCCCGGGUUCGAUUCCCGGCAUGGGAA
rnacentral:tRNA from 2 species